AAGACUAUACUUUCAGGGAUCAUUUCUAUAGGUUCUCACUAGGAAAUGUGUUUUGAAAGUGUUGUGUCUCCCAAACCGCGAUGAAGAGUGUUGAUGCUCUUUUCUAAGCGUGAAUCUGGUGUAGAGAAAUGGUUUGUCUCAUAUGCUCUACACUGUUGAUGACCGUCCCUGACUGCUUAAAGCAGUUUUGGAGGAAAAGAGCCUGAACUGAGCGGCA
ensembl:snoRNA